UACGUAGGGGGCAAGCGUUAUCCGGAUUUACUGGGUGUAAAGGGAGCGUAGACGGCGAUGCAAGCCAGAUGUGAAAGCCCGGGGCUCAACCCCGGGACUGCAUUUGGAACUGUAUAGCUAGAGUGUCGGAGAGGCAGGCGGAAUUCCUAGUGUAGCGGUGAAAUGCGUAGAUAUUAGGAGGAACACCAGUGGCGAGGGCGGCCUGCUGGACGAUGACUGACGUUGAGGCUCGAAGGCGUGGGUAUCGAACAGG
rnacentral:rRNA from 1 species